rnacentral:sRNA from 1 species
UGUCCCCCGGAGGCGUCUGGGUGUGCGGAGCGCGCGCGCGCGCGGCUCGGAGGCGCACCUGUGAGGUGUCCCUAAGGAGAGGGAGGGCGCCCUGCGUCCGGCAGAGGAGGCGAGCAUCCCGCUCAGGUGAUGAGGAACUCCUCGCGUAACCAGUGCAGAAGGCUGCUGCCGCCGGACGCCUCCAUUGUUUGACCACAACAAGGGCCGGAUUCUCACCCAGGUAAACUGGCUGCCGGCGCUGUCCACUUCCCUCUGACUCCCGCCUCCGCAGGCGUUCUCACCCCUUCCAGGACUCGACUGCAGUUUUCUCACUGUCCCCGUCUUCUCAUGAACUCCGUAUACCCCCCUCCCAGACAUUUUCCCAUCCGGAUCCAUCUCUCCGCCACAUCCCCGCUCAUUUCCCCUAGAACUCAGCUCCUUUGUGAAACCUUUCUUGCCGAACUCUAACAACUAAAUCUCCCCGGGAGCCUGCUCCGAACUGAACUGUUCUGGUUGCUAGAUUGCUUAUGGGCUGUCUUAUUGCAACAAAGGAGACCAGAUACUGAAAACAGAUUUCCGAGCUAUUGCCUUCUUCAAGGAACGUUUUCUGAUAUUUACAGUUUAUUGUUUUCACAAGAUGAAACGGUUUUUAGGCAUUUUGUCUUCUUAUUUAGAGAGGGCUCCUAUUUCCUUCAUAGACGCAUAGUUUUUUAGAGCAGGAAAUUGACCUUGUUCAACUCGCAGGUUAAUUAAAAAUUUAAAAAUUAAUUUUAAA